rnacentral:rRNA from 1 species
UACGUAGGAGGCAAGCGUUGUCCGGAAUUACUGGGCGUAAAGCGCGCGCAGGCGGUCUUCCAAGUCAGUGGUGAAAGCCUGGAGCUCAACUCCAGAACUGCCAUUGAAACUGUUAGACUUGAGUACGAGAGAGGUGAGUGGAAUUCCCAGUGUAGAGGUGAAAUUCGUAGAUAUUGGGAAGAACACCAGUGGCGAAGGCGGCUCACUGGCUCGUAACUGACGCUCAGGCGCGACAGCGUGGGGAUCAAACAGG